CAGGAGAGGCGUUCGGGUGCUCCCCAGUGUCCUGGUGGUGACCUGAGGUUUGUCCAGAGGAGAGGACGCAGAGCCUCCCCUGGGACCUGCCUCGCCCCACGAUCACACAGCCACACCAGGAGAGGAAACGGAACGCUGGCCCAGGACUUUAUGACUUCAGAAUCCAAGAGAAGAGGAGUUCUGUCAUGGAAGGGAAAGGAAAACAGCUGCCCUUCAUGGCCAUCUGAUUGCCCCACUGUGAAUUUCAAGUUGCCUGGCCUGUAGGAGCGACUCGGAAAAAAAAGGGGAAUUAUUAUCGUAAUUAUCAGGACUAGACCGAACAUAGCGCCUGUGUGAAGCAACUCUGAGUUAAAGUGGCUUGGCUGCUUGCUCCGAGAAAUCCCAGCGCCAGCACAUAAUCCUGUGUCCUCCUCUGUCCCCCGCCUGCCUCAGUGGCCCAAUCCCAACUGGUUUCCUGCGGUAAAGAGCCACUGUCAAAUAGCUCACCCAGGGCCCGUAAAUACCACUCCACAUUCCUCCAGUGGGGAUCUCUGUGGACAAGAUGUGCUCCUGUGCUGCAGGAGGUGUAAUAAACCCAGUUUUGCCUGAUGAACGGGUUUUGCUAUGGAAUUAAGCCAAUGGAAUUAAGGCCUAUGAAGGCAUCAGAAAUGCUUUUGGUUAUUAUUCUGCAAGACAGAAUCCUGCAGUUAUCCUGCAAGUGUGCUUGGCAUGACGGUGGUCACCAAGAGAGGUCCACGUCCAAACCCCCGCAACCCAUGGUUCCCUCCGCCACCCACAGGGAAGGAACUUGGCAGAGCCACGGAGCCACCGAACCACGGAACCACAGAGCCACGGAGCCCGGUAUCAUUUCAGCCUCACGCCUUGCAGACCCGUCAGAGUGUAAAAUUCUUGAAGGCAUAGGCAAGGACUUUCUGGACAGACCCGAAUCAAACAAGAAAUGACAUCAAGAACCAACAAAUGGGUCACAUUGACUUCAAAAGCUUCUGUACACCAUAGGAAACCCUAAAAAAGUGAGGACACAACCUACAGCAUGGGGAAGAUAUUGCCAGCUAUUCCUUGGAUGGAGGACUCAUAUGUAGACUACGUAAAGAACUCAAAAAAAAAAAAAAAAUUAAACCCCCCUCAAAUAAAGGACUCGAUUAAAAAAAUGGGCAACUGGAAUGAAUAGACCCUU